AGUGAACGCUGGCGGUAGGCCUAACACAUGCAAGUCGAACGGCAGCACAGGAGAGCUUGCUCUCUGGGUGGCGAGUGGCGGACGGGUGAGGAAUACAUCGGAAUCUACUUUUUCGUGGGGGAUAACGUAGGGAAACUUACGCUAAUACCGCAUACGACCUACGGGUGAAAGCAGGGGACCUUCGGGCCUUGCGCGAUUGAAUGAGCCGAUGUCGGAUUAGCGAGUUGGCGGGGUAAAGGCCCACCAAGGUGACGAUCCGUAGCGGGUCUGAGAGAAGGAUCAGCCACACUGGAACUGAGACCCGGUCCAGACUCCUACGGGAGGCAGCAGUGGGGAAUAUUGGACAAUGGGCGCAAGCCUGAUCCAGCCAUACCGCGUGGGUGAAGAAGGCCUUCGGGUUGUAAAGCCCUUUUGUUGGGAAAGAAAUCCAGCUGGCUAAUACCCGGUUGGGAUGACGGUACCCAAAGAAUAAGCACCGGCUAACUUCGUGCCAGCCGCCGCAGUAA
rnacentral:rRNA from 1 species